rnacentral:rRNA from 1 species
UGGGAAGUCUUGCGCAAUGGACGAAAGUCUGACGCAGCGACGCCGCGUGGGUGAUGAAGGCCUUCGGGUUGUAAAGCCCUGUGGGGAGAGGACGAAUAAGUAAGAGGCUAAUAGCCCUACUAUCGAUGACGGUGAUCUCUUUAGCAAGCACCGGCUAACUCUGUGCCAGCAGCCGCGGUAAGACAGAGGGUGCAAACGUUGUUCGGAAUUACUGGGCGUAAAGCGUGUGUAGGCGGCUACGUAAGUCGGAUGUGAAAGCCCAGCCGCAACCUGGGAAGUGCACUCGAUACUGCGUAGCUUGAGUAUCGGAGAGGUUGGUGGAAUUCUCGGUGUAGAGGUGAAAUUUCGUUAGAUAUCGAGAGGAACACCGGUGGCGAAGGCGGCCAACUGGACGAAUACUGACGCUGAGACACGAAAGCGUGGGAGCAACA